AUUGAACGCUGGCGGCAGGCCUAACACAUGCAAGUCGAACGGUAACAGGAAGUAGCUUGCUUCUUUGCUGACGAGUGGCGGACGGGUGAGUAAUGUCUGGGAAACUGCCUGAUGGAGGGGGAUAACUACUGGAAACGGUAGCUAAUACCGCAUAACGUCGCAAGACCAAAGAGGGGGACCUUCGGGCCUCUUGCCAUCGGAUGUGCCCAGAUGGGAUUAGCUAGUAGGUGGGGUAACGGCUCACCUAGGCGACGAUCCCUAGCUGGUCUGAGAGGAUGACCAGCCACACUGGAACUGAGACACGGUCCAGACUCCUACGGGAGGCAGCAGUGGGGAAUAUUGCACAAUGGGCGCAAGCCUGAUGCAGCCAUGCCGCGUGUAUGAAGAAGGCCUUCGGGUUGUAAAGUACUUUCAGCGGGGAGGAAGGGGGUAAAGUUAAUACCUUUGCUCAUUGACGUUACCCGCAGAAGAAGCACCGGCUAACUCCGUG
rnacentral:rRNA from 1 species